rnacentral:misc_RNA from 1 species
AACGCACGAGACCUGCGGACCUGCGGAAGGAUCAUUACCGAGUUUACAACUCCCAAACCCCAAUGUGAACAUUACCUUUACUGUUGCUUCGGCGGGAUCGCCCCGGGCGCGGCCGAGAGGCCCAGCCCCGGAUCCAACGUGCGCCCGCCGGAGGACCCCAGACUCCAUGUUUCUUGCAAGGUAUUUCUGAGCUGCUCCUAGCGAGCAAAACAAAAAAUGAAUCAAAACUUUCAACAAUGG